GAUGAUCGCUGGCGGCGUGCCUAAUACAUGCAAGUCGAGCGAACAGACGAGGAGCUUGCUCCUCUGACGUUAGCGGCGGACGGGUGAGUAACACGUGGAUAACCUACCUAUAAGACUGGGAUAACUUCGGGAAACCGGAGCUAAUACCGGAUAAUAUAUUGAACCGCAUGGUUCAAUAGUGAAAGACGGUUUUGCUGUCACUUAUAGAUGGAUCCGCGCCGCAUUAGCUAGUUGGUAAGGUAACGGCUUACCAAGGCAACGAUGCGUAGCCGACCUGAGAGGGUGAUCGGCCACACUGGAACUGAGACACGGUCCAGACUCCUACGGGAGGCAGCAGUAGGGAAUCUUCCGCAAUGGGCGAAAGCCUGACGGAGCAACGCCGCGUGAGUGAUGAAGGUCUUCGGAUCGUAAAACUCUGUUAUUAGGGAAGAACAAAUGUGUAAGUAACUAUGCACGUCUUGACGGUACCUAAUCAGAAAGCCACGGCUAACUACGUG
rnacentral:rRNA from 1 species